GAUGAACGCUAGCGGCAGGCUUAACACAUGCAAGUCGAGGGGUAACAAGGAAAAGCCUGCUUUUCUGUUGACGACCGGCGCACGGGUGAGUAACACGUAUGCAACCUACCUUGAACAGGAGGAUAGCCCAGAGAAAUCUGGAUUAAUACUCCAUAACGAUACAAAUUCGCAUGUUUUUGUAUUUAAAACUCCGGUGGUUCAAGAUGGGCAUGCGAUCUAUUAGUUUGUUGGUAAGGUAACGGCUUACCAAGACUACGAUAGAUAGGGGGUCUGAGAGGAUGAUCCCCCACACUGGUACUGAGACACGGACCAG
rnacentral:rRNA from 1 species